rfam:Triticum aestivum genome assembly, contig: Triticum_aestivum_CS42_TGACv1_scaffold_374402_5AL
GCUGGAAUAGCUUAGUUGGCUAGAGUGUGUGGUUGUUAACCACAAGGUCGGAGGUUCAAGCCCUCCUUCUAGCG